GUCCUUGUAGCUUAAACUAAAGCAUGGCACUGAAGAUGCCAAUAUGAAGCUGACCCAUUCCAAAGACA
rnacentral:tRNA from 1 species